GUUGGUCUAGUGGCAUGAUUCUCGCUUUGGGUGCGGAAGGUCGCAGGUUCGAGCCCUGCCGGAAACA